rnacentral:rRNA from 1 species
UACGUAGGGACCAAGCGUUGCUCGGAAUUACUGGGCGUAAAGGGCUCGUAGGCGGCCAACUAAGUCCGACGUGAAAUCCCAAGGCUUAACCUUGGAACUGCGUCGGAUACUGGAUGGCUUGAAUUCGGGAGAGGGAUGCAGAAUUCCAGGUGUAGCGGUGAAAUGCGUAGAUAUCUGGAGGAAUACCGGUGGCGAAGGCGGCAUCCUGGACCGACAUUGACGCUGAGGAGCGAAAGCUAGGGGAGCAAACGGG